GCCACAGCCCGAAGAGGGUGCCAGGCCCGUAUGACGAUGGUAAAUCCCGCCGGCAUGGGUCUCUCUCUGGAGUCGAGUUGCUUGAGAGUGCAGCUCUAAGCGGGAGGUAAACUCCUUCUAAGGCUAAAUACGACCACAAGACCGAUAGCGAACAAGUACCGUGAGGGAAAGUUGAAAAGCACUUUGAAGAGAGAGUUCAAGAGUACGUGAAACCGUUCAGGGGUAAACGAAUGAUAUCUGGAAAAUCGAAGCGAGAGAUUCAAACCGCACGUCGCGCGUCCACGCGGCGGCCCCCGAUCAUCUGAGACCCCCGCGCGUUGCAGCAAUGCUCGCCGGUGUGGAUACCCAGCAUGCACGGGCGGUCGUCACUGGCGCCGGCAUCGGUCUGCACUUUUCUCGUGGUAGUACGCCGCGACUCGUUGGGUGCGCGCCAAAGGCCCACGCGGGAGCCGGCACUAGUUGCGCGCUUUUAGCGAGCACACGGAGCCGACCGCGAGGUGACCCGGCGCGCUUGCCCGACGGUGUACAAGCGAUACGACAAGAGUCGAGCGCCUCGCCGCACUCGAUGGCUUUCACUAGCACGUUCUCGCGUCAGCGGUGCUCCAUUCAGAGCCCAUUCGACCCGUCUUGAAACACGGACCAAGGAGUCUAACAUGUACGCGAGUCAUUGGGAACCACUAAACCUAAAGGCGAAAUGAAAGUAAAUGUCGGCCGCCUCGGCGGUCGGCAGAGGAGUGAUGCCGCGCCUUUGAAUUGAAUUUCUUUACACAAGCCGGCCGCAACUCCGGGGCGUCUCGUUGUCAUCGCGACACAGUAGGCGCACCCAAAGCGUACAUGUUGGGACCCGAAAGAUGGUGAACUAUGCCUGGCCAGGUCGAAGUCAGGGGAAACCCUGAUGGAGGACCGUAGCGAUUCUGACGUGCAAAUCGAUCGUCAGAGCUGGGUAUAGGGGCGAAAGACUAAUCGAACCAUCUAGUAGCUGGUUCCCUCCGAAGUUUCCCUCAGGAUAGCUGGUGCCCGACGCAUAUCCGAUAAAAAGUUGCCGGUCCCCGGCUUCGCCAACAGUCUCAUCUGGUAAAGCGAAUGAUUAGAGGCAUUGGGGCCGAAACGGCCUCAACCUAUUCUCAAACUUUAAAUGGGUGAGAUCCUCGACUUGCUUAAGUGCGUAAACGUUGAAGUCGACCCAGCAGGAUGAACGGGCACCUAGUGGGCCAAUUUUGGUAAGCAGAACUGGUGCUGUGGGAUGAACCAAACGUGGAGUUAAGGCGCCCAAAUCGAUGCUCAUGGGAUACCAUGAAAGGCGUUGGUUGCUUAAGACAGCAGGACGGUGGCCAUGGAAGUCGGAAUCCGCUAAGGAGUGUGUAACAACUCACCUGCCGAAGCAACUAGCCCUGAAAAUGGAUGGCGCUCAAGCAUCGUGCCUAUACUCCACCGUCACCGGCAAUGAGAGCGCCGCUUGUCGGCCACCUACGUAUGCCGUGACGAGUAGGAGGGCGCGACGGUGAGCGCCGAAGUGCUGGCCGUGAGGCCGCAUGGAGCCGCCGUCGGUGCAGAUCUUGGUGGUAGUAGCAAAUACACUAGCGAGGUCCUGGUGGUCUGAGGUGGAGAAGGGUUUCGUGUGAACAGUUGUUGCACACGAGUCAGUCGAUCCUAAGCCCCAGGAGAAAUCCUUGUUGAUACGCGGUCAUAUAGUUUGUUACGCACGCUAGUAACUAGCAAACUGACGGUAUCGGGCGAAAGGGAAUACGGUUCCCAUUCCGUAACCCGGCAGCGGAACCGAUGCGCGGGCCACUGCAGCAAUGCAGACUCGUACCGAUUCUCAAACUUUAAAUGGGUGAGAUCUUUGGCUUGCUUAAAUAUGAAGCCAUAGAUUUGAAUCAAAGUGCCAAGUGGGCCAUUUUUGGUAAGCAGAACUGGCGCUGUGGGAUGAACCAAACGCUGAGUUGCGGCGGUGUCUGGAUCUUCCCCACGGACCUUGA
rnacentral:rRNA from 1 species